UGUGCUUUUCUGCUACAACAGCACUUCAGGCACAGAGGAACAUCACCAGGCAAAAUAAAAGCUCCUCUUUUCUCCUGCAAACCUCAGUCUUUUGUAAGGAAAGAAAAUUUUCCCCAGAAAUUCUCAGUAGAUUUCACCUUUGUGUCUCAUUCACUAGACUGGACCACAGUGAUAACAGGGCUGUCUUAGCUGCAGCAAGCCAGGACCAGUUCUUCAUCCUGCACAUUGCGGUCUGUCUUACACCUGCGCAGAACUGGAACUAUUUUAAUGGAGCAGUAGCUGAUGGACUACUCAGCAACCCACAUGGUCACCUUACAGCGGAUGUCUAAAUCUGGCCAACUUUCUGAGCAAUGCUGCCUCUUCUAUCCAAAGGAUCUUCCCCGCUGGAGAGUGCAAGGCGCCAGUCCCCAGCCGACAGUGGAAGAUGUUAACCAGAAGCCAGAGGACACGUGCACCUGGGAAAAGGAGCCUAGCCAGUUGCCACCAGUUGCGCCCACACACCCCUCUUUCCCAUAAUUCUCGUGCACAUUGUGCCAGUGGUUUGGUCACUGUUGAGCUAUCUUUGUUUAAUGUAUUUUUGACAGAAUAGUUAGUCUGAAAAUGCUAUUUUCAAUUAAACCUUCUUGUUGAAUGGCCUUGGUUUUGAAAGGAUUCUAUUAGGAUGGCUAAUUACCUAGCAGUUGCUGCAAGGAGAUAUGGUGUGUUCAAUUUCAACUCUUAAGUAGUUCAACUCACGUGCCUAUGUUUCCCCCCAGGAGCUUGAGCAGCCAUCUUCCUCUCAUACUGCAUCUUCUCAUAGCUUGCUUUUAGAAACUAAAACAGCAGUUUCAGCGGAUGCCUUUUCUAGCCUGAGUGACCCACAGGCAACAGCCAAAGCGCCCACGGGUAACAGCCCUGGCUCCGUCUGCACAGGGGUUCUGUGUUGGCAAGCUCUCCUUUCUACUACGACAUUCCUUCAUGAACUCCAUCUAACGUCAAAGGCAACGGAAAUUCCACUACAGUUCGACAAGAUUUGUCCGUCGGCAAAUUGUUGUCACAAGCGUCUUCUUGCAAAGUGGCAGACUGAAUUGGAAUGUCCUAGGGACUCUGCUGUGACCACGUGUUCCCAAGAAACAUCACUGUCUACUUUCCUGCUGAGCUCUGCUUGCUUCUUGCAGCAGAGCUCAUAUCACAUACCUCAACAUGCUGAUGGUCUUGGGAUGUUUUCUGUUGCUCUGACAGAAUUCCCGAGACUGGGAUGUUUGUAGGCAAUCAAACUGAUUGUGGUUCAUGGUUCCAGAGCCUGGCAAGUCUACAGGCAAGACCGUGGCGUCUGGCAAGGACUUUUUCACUGCAUCACACCAUGGUCAAGCCUCUCGCGGUGAGACACAGUGUGUCCUGCCCAAGUCACUCUUCCUCUUUUUCUAAAGCCACUAAUGUCUUCCUGGCGGCCCUACCUGAUGACUUCAUCUGAACCUAAUCACCUUCAAAUGCAGUCAGCUUGUGAGUUUGGGGGACAAAGUUUCCAACGUGAACUCUAGGGAGACACAGGCAAACCCCACGGUACUUGCUGCGUGGAUAAGCUUCUCUCACAGAGAACUUUGCUGAUGGAGCUGCAUCUUUCCCCUUGUUUCCUGCCUGGCACAUAGUGGGUGCUCAGGUUUUCCCCUUGUUUCCUGCCUGACACAUAGUGGGUGCUCAGGUAGUGAAGGAAUAAACAUAUAUUGUUGUAACCUAAUUCUUUUCUAUUUUGGUUGCAUUUUUCUAAAGUUAAUAUUUUAUUAUAGUCAACUUGAAAAAUAAUAAACUUUCAACUUUAGUAUCUUAAA